rnacentral:rRNA from 1 species
UACAGAGGGGGCAAGCGUUAUUCGGAAUUAUUGGGCGUAAAGGGCGCGUAGGCGGACUAUCAAGUCUGGGGUGAAAUCCCGCGGCUCAACCGUGGAACUGCCUCAGAUACUGACGGUCUCGAGGGAGGUAGGGGCAUGCGGAACUGUAGGUGGAGCGGUGAAAUGCGUUGAUAUCUACAGGAACUCCGGUGGCGAAAGCGGCGUGCUGGACCUCUUCUGACGCUGAGGCGCGAAAGCUAGGGGAGCAAACGGG